rnacentral:rRNA from 1 species
UAAGCGGAGGAAAGAAACUAACAAGGAUUCCCCCAGUAACGGCGAGUGAAGCGGGAACGGCUCAAAUUUGAAAUCUCCGUUGCUUGCAACGGCGAAUUGUAGUUUCGAGAAGCACUUUCUAGGCGGAUCGGCCCUGUCUAAGUUGCUUGGAACAGCACGUCAGAGAGGGUGACAACCCCGUCCGUGACGGGGCCGGCCGCUGACGAUGUGUUUUCAAAGAGUCGGGUUGUUUGGGAAUGCAGCCCAAAAUGGGUGGUAAACUCCAUCUAAAGCUAAAUAUAGGCACGAGACCGAUAGCGAACAAGUACCGUGAGGGAAAGAUGAAAAGAACUUUGAAAAGAGAGUUAAAAAGUACGUGAAACCGUUGAAAGGGAAACGAAUGGAGUUAGCAAUGCACCCUGCAAGAUUCAGCCGGUGAGUGGCGCGGACGGGCGGUUGGCGGAUCUGAAUGGACCGCCGUCGUUCGGCUCGUGCUCCUCUCCGUCGCACUUCUUGCGGGUGCGCGUCAACGUCGGUUCGGACUCGGUCUUAAAGYGUGCGGGAAGGUAGGUCGCGACGCCUCGGCGUGGCUUCUGUUACAGCCCGUGCUCGUAUGGCCGGGAUCGGACCGAGGAGUCGCAGCGCAUGCCUCUUGUGGCUAGGGUCCCUUCGGGCCGGUCGGUCGUCGACUGUGGUGGACUGCUUGCAGUGCACCCGAACUGCUGCCGGUCGCUUCGGAGGUGACGUCGUACAAUGCGCUAAGGACGUUGGCGGUCAUAUGGCUUCAUCCGACCCGUCUUGAAACACGGACCAAGGAGUCUAGCCUGUGCGCGAGUCUUAGGGUGAAGGAAACCCAGAGGCGCAAUGAAAGUGAAAGCGGCCUGGCCGCCGAGGUGAGAACCUUCCUCUCGGGGGAGGCGCAUCAUUGACCGAUCUAUUCUACUCUUAGGAAGAUUUGA